rnacentral:lncRNA from 1 species
UAUCCAUUCAAUUCAAUGAAUCUAGGGAAAUCUGAGAAUCAAUUGGUGCAAUCUAAUUAAUUCGAGGCAUUGUCAUUCAUGGUUUAAAGGAAUAAUAAUUGGGAAUUGGUUUGUUUGCAUAUAUCAUGUGUGGAGAAGGAUCCUCUAACUAGCUUUUCACCCUUUUCAAUUCACUAAAUUUGUUUUCUUAAAGUGUUUUAUGCAAAGUUUCUGUUUUAAGUUUUAAUUUCGUCAAAACAAAAUCCCUCUUUCUUAAGU